GGGCAUUUGACUCUGACCCUUCCGGUUCCCCAGAAUCCAUCUCACAACAAUAGGACAUUCUCUCUGUUUCCAUCCUGGGAAAUACAUUUCAUCUGCCGGGAUACAGAUUGACCAAACAUGAGAAAUUCUACCUGGAUCCGAUGACGUCACGUCCGGUUACGGGCCCAAGACGUCAUUUUUGGUUCAUUUUCUCAAGAUAUCACUUCCAGUUCCGGCCCUGAAGACGUCACUUCUGCCAACCUGACUUAAAAGCCACACAGCCUCCUGCAUUAAUCAGUUCUGUUUUGGACUUGAACCUGUACACUUCUGUACUAACAAUUCAUCAGUUUUUGCAGCCUUAUUCAAGUAUAUGGGCAGCUGCCCCAAACCUAUUCCUGUGUCAAGGCCUGUUAUUUUCA